rnacentral:rRNA from 1 species
GACGAACGCUGGCGGCGUGCCUAAUACAUGCAAGUAGAACGCACAGUUUAUACCGUAGCUUGCUACACCAUAGACUGUGAGUUGCGAACGGGUGAGUAACGCGUAGGUAACCUGCCUGGUAGCGGGGGAUAACUAUUGGUAACGAUAGCUAAUACCGCAUAAUAUUGAUUAUUGCAUGAUACUUGAUUGAAAGAUGCUAUUGCAUCACUACUAGAUGGAUCUGCGUUGUAUUAGCUAGUAGGUGAGGUAACGGCUCACCUAGGCGACGAUACAUAGCCGACCUGAGAGGGUGGUCGGCCACACUGGGACUGAGACACGGCCCAGACUCCUACGGGAAGGAGCAAGAGGGAAACUUCGGCAAUGGACGGAAGUCUGACCGAACAACGCCGCGGGAGGGAAGAAGGUUGUCGGGUCGUAAAGCUCUGUUGUAAGGGAAGAACGGGUGUGAGAGUGGAAAGUUCACACUGUGACGGUAUCUGACCAGAAAGCAACGGCUAACUACGUG